CUGGUUAUUCGGGAAAAUUUCUCUCUGGAAAGGGUGGUCAGGCCUUGGCAGGGGCUGCCCAGGGAGGUUUGGAGUGCCCAGCCCUGGAGGUGCCCAAGGAAGGCCAGGACUCAGUGCUCUGGGCUGGGGGACGAGGUGGGCAUUGGGCACAGGGGGGAUCCACGGGCUGGGAGGUUGGAGCACAAACCCAAUUGAAAUUGGGGAAAGUAAAAUUAAAUACAUGUUGAUCCACAGGAGGGGAAUUAUCUUCAAUCCUCUUUAACCAGCCUGUGCUCUGCUAAAAGCAUUUUUCAGGUAAUAUUUUUGCCCUUCCCCUUCCCAGGCUGCCCAGGGCAGGAGUGGGGUAUAAGGGUCCAGAAAGCCAAGAUGAUCCCAGAUAUGGAGGAGCCAGGUUAACCCACAUGGUUGGUCUGGUGAGGAAGGUCCAGUCCUUCAGAUCAUGGGAUUUCUCUCAGCCUCUGUUGCCCAAGGGAGAGAAUCUUCCCUCUGCCCUCUGCCAACCUGUGGUGCUUGACAAGACUUUUCUCAUGAGCUCCUGGGCUUUGUCACAUCCUAUGGAUGUGCUGGACCAAGGGUGGCUCAGUGCACUCGAAUCCAAGUGGGAAGAAGGGAGAAUACCUGAAACCUGCUUCGUCCAAGCCAGGUCCUCCUUGCUGGUUGAGUGAAGGGACCAUCAUUGGCUGCAGCUACUCUUGUGGGGACACAGGACAUCCCACUGUGCAUGUCCAAGGGAACAUCUGGUCAGAAAGGUGACCCUUUCCCUGCUGGAAACGGGAACAGGGAGCCGGGUGAGGGAUUUCGGUGUCUGCUGGAGCGUAGAGCACGUGGGAGGUGAGCAGCCCACGCCAGGGCUGAUAAAUCCAACAUUCCCGUCCCCACCCUUCCCUGUGAAACAUGGAAAGAUUAAUGGCAACCAGACCAUCAAGUUCUCCUCAGCAUUCCGGUUACGAGGUGCCUCUUUUUCCAGAUGGUUCCGACGGUCGCCAGGAAAUGUUAUUAUUAAACUUGAUAAAAAUGGA